rfam:Candidatus Andersenbacteria bacterium RIFCSPHIGHO2_12_FTLL_45_11 rifcsphigho2_12_scaffold_18754, whole genome shotgun sequence.
AGGCGUGGAAACUUGAGGAGCGUCCUUCCUAGUACGAGAGGACCGGAAGGGACCAACCUCUGGUGUACCAGCUGUCUAGUUCUUAGGCAUUGCUGGGUAGCUACGUUGGGCUGGUGAUAAGCGCUGAAAGCAUCUAAGCGCGAAGCCCACUCCAAGACCAGGUUUCGUAUGAGAUCCCUCGAAGACUACGAGGUUGAUAGGCGGAAGGUGUACGCACAGCAAUGUGUUGAGCCGAUCCGUACUAAUAUGAUCCAGUUGUAUGAAUAC